GGCGGAGUUAUAGCACACCCCAAGCGUAGUAAUUUACCUCGCUCCCGGGGAGUCUAUAGCGGCUUGCCGUUAAAAAAACCCCUAUAUCUUCUAGUGGUUGACCUCGGA
rnacentral:rRNA from 1 species